GAUUUUUAUGUUGGUUUGUUUGUCGCCGAUUGAUUAAACUUACUGCUGUCUUCUAUUUUAUUGUUGAAGUGGGAUCAAAAUUUACAAUGCUCAAAGAAAUAGGUCUGGCCGGAAAUCAAUAGUGUGGCAAAACAUGGGGGGUAUUCCGGCACAACAAAAUGUGAAGGACUGUGGCAUAUUCAUCAUGCGGUACAUGAAGGAAAUAAUUGAGGAUAAGAACCUGGGUUUUGCUUCAAAGUGGCAGCGACGAUCCGAAUUGAUCUACACCCAAAAGGAUAUUGAUGUUGUGAGGUCAGAGUGGGCUAAGUUUGUGAUGAAGUAUCAUAUUUCAUAGCUGUGAUGGUUGUUCAAGGCAUGCUUUAGUUAUAGGCAUGGUUAAUGUGCAGUUGAAGGCAUUUUUGUUUUGGUAUUUUCAUGAGCCUCCUGCUAGCUGGUUUUAGUUUUUGCUUUAGUUAUAGGAAUGGUUAAUGCGCAGUUGAAGGCAUUUUUGUUUUGGUAUUUUGAUGAGCCUCCUGCUAGCUGGUUUUAGUUUUUGCUUUAGUUAUAGGCAUGGUUAAUGCGC